rnacentral:rRNA from 1 species
UACGUAGGGGGCAAGCGUUGUCCGGAUUUAUUGGGCGUAAAGAGCGUGUAGGCGGCCUGAAAGGUCAGCUGUGAAAACUCGAGGCUCAACCUCGAGACGUCGGUUGAAACCAUCUGGCUAGAGUCCGGAAGAGGAGUGUGGAAUUCCCGGUGUAGCGGUGAAAUGCGCAGAUAUCGGGAAGAACACCCGUGGCGAAGGCGGCACUCUGGGCAGUGGCUGACGCUGAGGCGCGACAGCGUGGGGAGCAAACAGG